UUGUCAGGAAAUUGAAGAAUGUGAGACUUGUCCCGAAUUUGAAAAGAAAUCUCAUCUCGUUGGGAUCUCUUGAAGAUUAGGGACAUUCUUUCAAGUCUGAAAAUAACACCUUGAAAGUUAUAAAGGGAUCUUUGGUAGUCUUUAAGGGACCAAGAAGAAAUGGAUUGUACUAUCUUUUGGGAGAGACAGUUAUCCCUCAAGAUGCUAAAUCUUUGACCAUAACGGAAAAUAAAUCUGAAUUGUGGCACAACAGAAUGAGACAUAUAGGAAAUAAAGGUUUAAAGUAUCUAAGAAAUCAAAAGUUGCUUGGGAAGAUACGAUUGAGCCUCUUGAAUUUUGUGAAACGUGUGUGUUGGGCAAGUCACAUAGGGUGAGCUUUGAGACUGGAUCACAUACCAUCUCUAGGCCCCUAGACCAUGUCCACUCAGAUUUAUGGGGACCGAAAAGUCAUCCUACAUUUGGAGAGAAUAAGUACUUUCUUUCUAUAGUUGACGACUACUCUAGAAAAGUUUGGACUUAUCCAUUGAAAUCUAAAUCUGAGACUUUUCAAAAAUUUCGAACUUGGUUGAAGAUGGUGGAAAAUCAACUUGAUAAGAAGUUAAAGACUCUAAGAACUGACAAUGGAUUAGAAUUUUGCAAUGCUGAGUUUGAUAACUUCUGUAAGCAAAAAGGAAUUGUAAGACACAGAAUCAUUAAGCACACACCACAACAAAAUGGGGUCGCGGAAAGAAUGAAUAGAACUCUAAUGAACAAAGUAAGAUGUAUGCUUAUCAGUUUUGGAUUAGCGAAAGGUUUUUGGGCGGAGGGGCUGUAUCUACAGUUGCUUAUCUUAUAAAUCGAUCUCCAUGUAGUUCUGUUGAAUUUAAAACUCCACAGGAACUUUGGACGGGAAGACCCCCAAACCUUUCUCAUAUUAGAGUGUUUGGAUGUGCGGCAUAUGCACAUCAAGUUGAAGGAAAAUUGGACCCUAGAGCUGCUAAGUGUGUGAUGCUUGGGUACUCGGAAGGUGUUAAGGGGUGUCGAUUAUGGGUGUUAGGCGUUCAAGGCAUUAAAAUCAUUAAUAGUAGAAAUGUGGUUUUCAAUGAAUUCGAAAUGCCAUGCUUCAAAAUUGAUAAUUCUAAAGAGCAAAUCAAUGAGACUACUUCACGGAAUGAGGUGAAGCUAGCAAGGCUAAGUCCCACUCAGCAUGAAAAUAUUGAAGAGGAUGUACAACAAUUUGAUGAAAAUGUUGUUAACACGGAUGAAGGUGAAGUAGGUCCAAGUGAAGUCGAGACUAAAAUUGAAAAUCCAAAUAUUCCCACUAUUGAAACAAGUGCUCAAGAUUAUCAAUUGGUGAGAGAUAGGGAAAGAAGGCAAUUAAACCAAAUCCAAGAUAUGAAACUCGGGUGAAUCUUUAGAGUAUUCAGAACCUUUAUCAUAUGAAGAGGCUACGAAUAGCUCUAACUCUGAAAAAU
rnacentral:sRNA from 1 species